CAGGGCUAGUUCAAUUUUCAUAGAUCAGUCCGUUCAGAGAUGGUAGCAAUAAGGUUUAACAUUAAGAAGUUCGAUGAUGUCAUAGAUUUCAAUUUGUGGCAUGUUCAGAUGAUGGGAAUUCUAGUUCAGACCAACCUGAAAAAGGUCGUUAUUGAGAAAAAGCCUAAAAAUCUUAUAUCAAACAGAAUGGGGAGAGUUUGAUGAAAAUGCCAUGUCUCCAAUCUAGUUGUGCCUCACGAAUAGGGUAUUGCAGGAGGUAUUGAUGGAGAAAACCUCAUCCGCAUUGUGAAAAAAGGAAAUGGAGAUGAAGAAAAAGAAGAAAAAGGGGAAGAAAAAUGCUGCAACUAUGGGUAAUUUAUCCCGAUUUUACCCUGCUUUUUAAACCUUGGCAUGAGAUAGGCUGGUCUCCCAAUAUUUCCUUAACCGAAGAGAGGAAACCCUAAUUUUGUCUCUCCCAAGAGACAAAAGGAAGGAAAAAAUGGUGUUUUACUUCAAAGCCGGGCAGAAGCUAUCAAUUACAUCAUUUUUAUGGGUCUUGACAAGUACGAGAACGCGGAGCUCAUCAAAUAUGGCUUCAUCGAAGAUAUCUGGCUGCUGUUCAUAAAGAACCAAUCUUUUCCAUUCCUGGAACUGCAGCAAUAGUUCAGCAUGAAAUUUUAAAUAACAGAAGGCAUGUAUUAACUAAGGUACAAGAAGCUCCUAAGCUCAGUGGAUCUUACACAGGACUUCUUCUUCUGCUAUUCAUACAAUGUUAUGUGUAGUCUUCAAAAGAACUUGUAUAAUAAUGAACCAGGUGAGGUUCUUUAUGAGACCAUGUUUGUUUGGAAUGAGUUCCUGACCCGAGGAAUCAGCAAUCCCCUCAAGAAUACUCUAUGGACAGUUACCUUGGUGUAUGGCUUCUUUAAGCAGGCAUCCUUUUCUGUAUCUGGAAGGAGUUUCAAACUUUUGCUCAUUGCAAGACGAUCCCGUCACUAUGAACCUGCGAAGAGGUUAAUAGCUUUCCACUAUGGGGUUUAAAAAGGUUUAUAAAUGCUUGAUGGAUAUUUUCCCGUAGGCCUUUCUUUUUACUCAUUUUUAAUCCCAUGUUGUAAUUGAUUUAUGUAUGUGUAUAACAUAAAGCGUGGUUAUUUGGAAAAAGAAAUGUAACAAACAUGCAGUGCAAGUAUAUUUUCUUAUACCUACUGCACAUGCUGAUUCACGAAUUCUAAAAGCUGUUGCUAUCGAGAACUCUAAGGAUGUGGACGCAGCUGCGGAGAUUGUUCUGUCUGAGAUUUUGCCUUACCUAUCUAAACGAACUGUGGUUAGUAGUUCUUCCUCAUGGAAUCGGAGCCCUCCUGUGCAAGCAAAUGAAGGGAUGAUGAAGAUGAUUCA